AUUGAACGCUGGCGGCAGGCCUAACACAUGCAAGUCGAGCGCGAAAGUUCUUCGGAAUGAGUAAAGCGGCGGACGGGUGAGUAAUACAUGGGAAUCUGCCCGGUAGUGGGGGACAACGUUUCGAAAGGAACGCUAAUACCGCAUACGCCCUACGGGGGAAAGGGGGGGAUCGCAAGACCUCUCGCUAUCAGAUGAGCCCA
rnacentral:rRNA from 1 species